rnacentral:rRNA from 1 species
CGUGAGAUGUUGGGUUAAGUCCCGUAACGAGCGCAACCCUUGUCCUUAGUUACCAGCACGUUAUGGUGGGCACUCUAAGGAGACUGCCGGUGACAAACCGGAGGAAGGUGGGGAUGACGUCAAGUCAUCAUGGCCCUUACGGCCUGGGCUACACACGUGCUACAAUGGUCGGUACAAAGGGUUGCCAAGCCGCGAGGUGGAGCUAAUCCCAUAAAACCGAUCGUAGUCCGGAUCGCAGUCUGCAACUCGACUGCGUGAAGUCGGAAUCGCUAGUAAUCGUGAAUCAGAAUGUCACGGUGAAUACGUUCCCGGGCCUU